UACGUAGGGCGCGAGCGUUGUCCGGAAUUAUUGGGCGUAAAGAGCUCGUAGGCGGUCUGUCGCGUCGGGAUGUGAAAGCCCGGGGCUUAACCCCGGGUCUGCAUUCGAUACGGGCAGACUAGAGUGUGGUAGGGGAGAUCGGAAUUCCUGGUGUAGCGGUGAAAUGCGCAGAUAUCAGGAGGAACACCGGUGGCGAAGGCGGAUCUCUGGGCCAUUACUGACGCUGAGGAGCGAAAGCGUGGGGAGCGAACAGG
rnacentral:rRNA from 1 species